CGGGGCAGGGGGAAUGGAUGGGGUGACGUUCUUCAACAUAAAUAUGGUCGGAUGUAUCGAUCACUCUACAGUUCCAAUCUCCGGAACAUAGGUGAAGGAAGAGCAAUACCAUGUCAAAGUGGCGUACAUUGGCUUCGGUCUUGCUUCUACUAGUCUUAUGGACGGAAUUCGUGGUUCCCAAUUACGUGGAUGACGAAGAAUGGGAGGAUAUGGAAAUGCCACAGAGGAUGUCUGACCCGACAGAGAUUGCAGAACAAGACAGCAUGCGAGACAGUGACCCAAAAACUUUCCUGAUUUGUAUGAACAAUGGAUGUACAGCUCAAGGAGGAACGUGUGGAUUACACUGGUUCAGCCGAUGCAGAGUGAGGAACUCCAGUUGGUGUAGAGGAUGGUGCACCUGUUGCAUACCGUAAACUCUUCAGGCAGACACACCAGCAUCCACUUCAUUUCCAAAAUAAAACAACGGACAAGGACUAACGGAAGAACGCAUAUGUAGCUCUCGGGGACACAACUAGCGAAUUGAAACAACUCUUUUUCCGAACAACAAAAAUCGUCAUCUACAGUGAUAAAAAGACGAAGAAGAUCAACCCGUCUGAUGUAACGAAAUCCCUGCCUACGCCAUACAAGACAAUCAACAUUUCUUUCAGAUAUAUAUGUAUACGGGGAAACUGGUAAUCAGUAUCAUUGUCAUGCUUUGAAGAUUACUCGACGAUUUUAGCUUUUGAGGUGAUUGCGUUAUACUUUAGAAAAUUGAGUUGUAGUCUUUCGAGUAACAAGCAAAGGAUUAAUAAAGUCAUGCCGUAAAUGUAAGUAAUCUAGAUAAAAAUGGUAACUGUUAACCCUUGUUACUACUGAAACGAGAAAAAUGUUGCUUCUAAUUAGAGAGAAAAAAAACUGAAAUUAAAUCCACAAGUAUCAGGAAGAGCGGAGCUGAAAAUAUCUCGAGUUGUGUAUUCAAAGCAAAAAUUGUAAAGUUCAGAACCUUGUCAUGUUUUUUUGUUGUUGACUGUCAGCAUUAUCAAUAUCAAAUGAGUUCAUUGCAAUUAUGUCAGCGAACAGUAAGCACAGUAGCGUAACAGUAAAGCACACACACAAAUAGAAUUCUUCUUUAUAUGGACAAUAUUUUUUCAAUCAGGAGGCUUGAGAUUUUUAUAUUUGUAAUUGUGCGAUGUUCUGGUAGAGGGCACUGAGUGUCGACGGACGCUGAAUCCAAGCACUUUUCGAAUAUGGUUGCGGACAGACUCCUGAUGUUUUUGCACAAAGGAAACCAUCUUUCUCUUUAACAUAACCACAACCACCGCCAUAGGGAGCUAGCUCUGUAAGUGUACCUCCCGCUGUCCACCGUUGGCAUUACUUGAGGUUCUUUGCAACAUCCUUUCGGCCUCUAGCUGCAAACCCUUUUAUUCCUUUUACAAUACUUCCAUUCAUAUUCUGGGUCUUCCAUCCUUUCCAACUUCUCUAAACAAUUUUUUCAACAUUAUUCUCAGCGCUCAUUGACCCCAUACGUCCCAGCGUGUGGUAUGUGGCUGAAAUUUUAUAUUCCGAUUCCAAUUAUAUCAACACAAGCACCAGCACAGAUCUAAUGAUUUUUGCACUUGAGAAAUGUAUUGGUUAUGGAGAAGCUGUUUGAACCACUAAAUAAAGUUUUGCUGACACGAAGAUGUAUAUAGAGAUAUUUUACCCUUUAA